rnacentral:rRNA from 1 species
UGAACGCUGGCGGCGUGCCUAAUACAUGCACGUCGAGCGAACAGACGCGGAGCUUGCUCCUCUGCCGUUAGCGGCGGACGGGUGAGUAACACGUGGAUAACCUACCUAUAAGACUGGGAUAACUUCGGGAAACCGGAGCUAAUACCGGAUAAUAUAUUGAACCGCAUGGUUCAAUAGUGAAAGACGGUUUUGCUGUCACUUAUAGAUGGAUCCGCGCCGCAUUAGCUAGUUGGUAAGGUAACGGCUUACCAAGGCAACGAUGCGUAGCCGACCUGAGAGGGUGAUCGGCCACACUGGAACUGAGACACGGUCCAGACUCCUACGGGAGGCAGCAGUAGGGAAUCUUCCGCAAUGGGCGAAAGCCUGACGGAGCAACGCCGCGUGAGUGAUGAAGGUCUUCGGAUCGUAAAACUCUGUUAUUAGGGAAGAACAAAUGUGUAAGUAACUAUGCACGUCUUGACGGUACCUAAUCAGAAAGCCACGGCUAACUACGUG